ACCCGACUCCUCCUCCACGCGCAGGGCCAGAGCAUGCGUACCCGACAAGCUCUGCCCUCCUGUGCCUCUCUUCUACAGGUGCCUGUGGGCGGGCUCGUGCAUGGACAGUCCCAGCAAUGCCACCGUGCCCUGUGGCUUUCUCCUUCAAGGCUUCUCCGAAUUCCCGCACCUGAGACCCGUGCUCUUCCUUUUGCUGCUGGGGGUGCACCUGGCCACCCUGGGCGGGAACCUGCUCAUCCUGGUGGCCGUGGCCUCGAUGCCAAGCCGGCAGCCCAUGCUGCUCUUCCUGUGCCAGCUGUCAGCCAUCGAGCUGUGCUACACGCUGGUGGUGGUGCCCCGCUCCCUGGUCGACCUGAGCACGCCGGGGCCACCGCAGGGGCAGCCCUAUCUCCUUCCUGAGCUGCGCCUUUCAGAUGCAGAUGUUUGUGGCUCUGGGCGGGGCCGAGUGCUUCCUGCUGGCCGCCAUGGCCUAUGACCGCUACGUGGCCAUCUGCCACCCGUUGCGCUACGCGGCCGUGGUGACCCCCGGGCUGUGCGCGCGACUGGCUCUGGCCUGCUGCCUCAGGGGACUGGCGGUGUCCGUGGGGCUCACGGUGGCCAUCUUCCACCUGCCUUUCUGCGGCUCCCGCCUGCUGCUGCACUUCUUCUGCGACAUCACGGCGCUGCUGCACCUGGCCUGCACGCGGAGCUACGCCGACGAGCUGCCUCUGCUGGGCGCCUGCCUGGUGCUGCUGCUGCUGCCCUCGGUGCUCAUCCUGGCCUCCUAUGGCGCCAUCGCCGCCGCCCUGCGCCGCCUGCGCUGCCCCAAAGGCCGGGGCAAGGCCGCCUCCACCUGCGCCUUGCACCUGGCAGUCACCUUCCUGCACUACGGCUGCGCCACCUUCAUGUACGUGCGGCCCAGGGCCAGCUACUCCCCGCGCCUGGACCGCACCCUGGCGCUGGUCUACACCAACGUCACGCCGCUGCUGUGCCCACUCAUCUACAGCCUGCGCAACCGCGAGAUCACCGCCGCCCUGAGCAGGGUGCUGGGGCGCCGGCGGCCAGGCCAAGCUCCAGGCGGGGAUCUGCGCGAGCUCUGAUGGCAGGCCCGUACCAGGCAGAGGGGGCCGCUCCGCUCCGUAGAGUUUUCCCCAUCAUGAGGGGUC